GAUGAACGCUGGCGGCGUGCCUAAUACAUGCAAGUCGAGCGAACUGAUUAGAAGCUUGCUUCUAUGACGUUAGCGGCGGACGGGUGAGUAACACGUGGGCAACCUGCCUGUAAGGCUGGGAUAACUUCGGGAAACCGAAGCUAAUACCGGAUAGGAUCUUCUCCUUCAUGGGAGAUGAUUGAAAGAUGGUUUCGGCUAUCACUUACAGAUGGGCCCGCGGUGCAUUAGCUAGUUGGGGAGGUAACGGCUCACCAAGGCAACGAAGCAUAGCCGACCUGAGAGGGUGAUCGGCCACACUGGGACUGAGACACGGCCCAGACUCCUACGGGAGGCAGCAGUAGGGAAUCUUCCGCAAUGGACGAAAGUCUGACGGAGCAACGCCGCGUGAGUGAUGAAGGCUUUCGGGUCGUAAAACUCUGUUGUUAGGGAAGAACAAGUACGAGAGUAACUGCUCGUACCUUGACGGUACCUAACCAGAAAGCCACGGCUAACUACGUGCCAGCCGCCGCGGUAACAC
rnacentral:rRNA from 1 species